AUUCGUACGAAGGUGUCCUAGUGGCGAACGGGUGAGUAACACGUUGGUGACCUGCCCCGAAGAGAGGGACAACCCCGGGAAACCGGGGCUAAUACCUCAUGUGCUCCAUGGUGUUAGAGGACCAUGGAGGAAAGGGAGCAAUCCGCUUCGGGAGGGGCCUGCGGCCCAUCAGCUAGUUGGUGGGGUAACGGCCUACCAAGGCGACGACGGGUAGGGGACCUGAGAGGGUGGUCCCCCACACUGGUACUGAAACACGGACCAG
rnacentral:rRNA from 1 species